GACGAACGCUGGCGGCGUGCCUAAUACAUGCAAGUAGGACGCAGUUGCGAACGGGUGAGUAAAGCGUAGGUAACUGCCUAUUAGAGGGGGAUAACUAUUGGAAACGAUAGCUAAUACCGCAUACUAGUAGAUGGACCUGCGUUGUAUGAGCUAGUAGGUAGGGUAAUGGCCUACCUAGGCGACGAGACAUAGCCGAACCUGGAGGUUUAUCGGCCACACCUGGACUGAGACACGGCCCAGACUCCUACGGGAGGCAGCAGUAGGGAAUCUUCGGCAAUGGGGGGAACCCUGACCGAGCAACGCCGCGUGAGUGAAGAAGGUUUUCGGAUCGUAAAGCUCUGUUGUUAAGGAAGCGGUACUUAACCAGAAAGGGACGGCUAACUACGUGCCAGCAGCCGCGGUAAUAC
rnacentral:rRNA from 1 species